AUGACAUUUUCUAACAAGCCUGGGGCACCUCCUCCCUCCCCACCUCAUGGGUCCCUCUCUCAUUUUAAAAGCCCUCCCAGGACUUCAAGAUGAAACACUUCCACACUGGGCAGAGAUUCUCAUUGAAUUCUCCAGUUCGCUGUCUCCAGUGCUGAGGAGAGACAUUUUAAUUAAUUAUAGUCCCAUGGGCUCGGGGAUCAAUAGCAGUGAAGAGCCGUGGAAUGAAUUCCAGCCUCUGUGCUGUUUCCAGCUCUCCCUGUGACCUUGUACCAGUCGCUCAAGCUCUCUGGGCCUUGGUUUCCUCUUCUCUAGAAUGGGAAUAUUCAUUUCACAGGCAUAAUGAGAAUCUUCAAAAAGGUAUGGCGAUCAAAGUGUUGUAAAAUGUAGAGUGCUAACCACAAGUAAGUUAUUAUUAAGGUGGUAUUUAUAUUCCCAAAGGGUAAGCAUGAGUGGUGUUUCUCUUCUGAGCCAUUUCUAGAACCUUCUUGCUUUUUGUUAAUACGUUAAAACCACCUGGCAGCUUCCAUUUUCCUUUCUGAGUCUGAGAAGCAAGCAGCCCAGACAGAAUUGGGGGGAGAGGGUGUAGAUGGGAAGAAGUUCCUGUUCUGUAAGCCCCAAGUUUCUCCAGCAAGGAAAAGGUAAUCAUACCUGUGGGACCUGGAAUAAGAAGACAGAAGCCUUGGCUUUCCCCGAGAGUCAGUGCUGUUCGCCACACUGGCCACCUCUAGUGCUGAGUCUUUGUUUAUUGAAGCCUCUUCUUCUGUUUUCCUGUGUCCUUUUCCCUGCAGUGUAUUCUGCACACAGCAACCAGAGUGAUCUUUCCAAAACACAUCUGGUCAUGUCCUUACCCUGCCCAGAGCCCUCCCCCGGCUCCCCUAGACUUUAGGAUAAAAUCCAGCUUCUUGCUAUGGCUGCUCAGGCCCUGCUGCUCCGGCCUCUGACCGCAUCUGUAGUCGUAGUCCCCUGCUCUCCCACCUGCUCGCCUUUGGCUCCCAAUGUAGCUCAUCUACUCCCCGACAUGUGCUCUACCUGGGUCCCCAGGCCUUAAUGUGCCAGUCUGGGCCUCCCUGGCCAGGUCCUCCACGUGCUUCAGGUGUCUACUGAGACAUCAUCUCCCCCAGCAAGCCUUCCCUGACCACCCUGCCCUCCUCAGCCUGAGUGGGUUCCUGUGGUGUCCUGUGCUUAUGGAUGUCUUGGUCCUAACCGUAUCCCAGGACAGUCAUCCAUGUCCUUGGUGGCCUCCCCUCACCUACCCUACAGAUGCAUGAGCUCCUUUCAGGCUGUGCCUGUGUGACCAGUUUACUGUUCUAUCCUCCAGCGUCUAGCACACCUCCUGCCACACAAUGCAUGCCAAAUAAUGGAUGGAAGAAUGGACAUGGGCUGUUACCACCAGAUUGAAAAACCUGCACAUACUAGAAUCACCUGGGCACUCUCCCAGCCAACGGCUUCGGCUUCCUGGUGCCACCUUAGUCCUCCAGAUUCAGCAUUUCUAUGGGUGGGCCGGGGAAUCUGCAUGUUUAACAAGCACACGCCCAGGAAGUGCUUAGCCUCCAAGUAUGGGCUACUUAUUUUUUAACAAUUACUUUCACUCCAAGACGUACAUAAUUUUUUAAACAUGGGAAUCCCUGAUGUUUCAUUUUUGUUUUGGAAAUGAUUUUUAGAGAAGAUGAAUUAUCCUGUCUGAUGCCAUGAGAUCUAUUUUUAUCAUUUGGGAUGUUGAGACUAAAACUGACAACAUAUUUAGUAUUGCUUAUAGUACUCAGUGACACUGCCUCCCUUUGAAGCCCGCCAGAGAGCCACCAUGCAGGAACAUGAGUUACUAAUUAAUUCAACCUGCUCACUGGGACAAAAUGGGAAGGAAGAACCCACAUUUGACACAGAUAAAGUGGAGCAUGUUCAAAGCGCCAGGACACCAAGGGAUCAGGAAAUUAUGUCUCAAGGGAAGGGCUGAAGAAACUGCACAUUUAGGUUUCCAUGGAGGAAACUCAGUGGCUGUAAAUGCCAGAAGUGCUGAAAUAGGGGUGGGUAGGCUUGCAAGGAAAGUAGACCUGGACCUGAGGGUGGAAGUUACCAGGACAGACCUUCCGCUGGAAUAUGUGAAAGAACUUCCAAGCAAAUGGAAUCCUGCAAAUAAGCAUCCUUAAAAGGGAGUUCCCACAGCAAGAGAAAUGUUCAAAGCUGGAGCCAUCUGAUGGGGCUGUCACAGAAUGUCCUGGGUGAGGAGUGGUCUGGACUAGAAGAAGUCCAGGUACCUUUCUGACAGACUCUGGGGUGAACACAAAUGGCCACAGGACCAAGCCAGUGACCUGAAUGAGUCAGUCAUUACUCAGCUCCAGCCAAUUGCUUGGGAAUGUGGGUCCAGCAAGGCCAGAUCCUUCUUCUGAUUUUUCAAGAAAAGACAGACUUGUGGAUUUUUAAAAAUAUGGACUGUCCUGAGUUUUAAAUAUCAUGCAGGCCAAAUAAAGCCAUCUGUGCCUGCAGGGUCUUGAUUGUGACCUGCCAGUUUGACCCCUCUGUUCCAGGAUUCUCAGGGUUAUGUGCACUUUUGUCCUUCACAAGUAAGAUAAAUGAAAUAGGUAGGGAUUUUCCUCCUAUUCAACAGAUGGGCAAGUCAGGACACCGGGAGGUUAAGGGACUUCUAGAUAGACGCACUCUUAUAAUAUAAGGUAAUGUUAUAACAGACAAGGGCUAGAAUCAGGGUACGUGGGUGAAUAGGUAGUUAUGUCCCUCGGCUGCUCCACUGACAUUUCAUUUUUUAGCUCUUCUCUUAAAAUAAUAUUUGCUGAAGGGAGCACUGGGAAGGCCCCAUCCUUCCUAUAUGACUGGAGCAGGGAAUUCUGCCUCCCAGGGGCUCUGGGGUGAGGGGUAUCCUCCCUGCACCGCUCCGGGGGUUAGGGUGCCCCUGAGUUGUGCCUUACUGAGUCUGCACAUCCUGCACAGAGCUCCUGCCUGGAGCCAUUCUAAAACUCAGCCGCUCCUAUUCCCCAAGGAUCUGUGUCUUUAGGCCUCCAGCCAUGCCUGAAAUUUCACCAUUAUAAGCCUGCUUUUGGGUGAAGGCUUCACAGGCACCCAGGAAUCACUUUCACAGUGAACACAGGAAAAGGAAAAAAAACCACAGGAAUGCAACCUGACAUCUCUCUCAGGCUCUAAGUAUUGGACUGCCAGGACUUGGGUACUGAAGAAAUUAGUUUUGCCACGAAGGCAACCUCAAAAAGCCAGUCAUCUUCAAGCCACAUUUACAGCACUCCGCAGUGCGACUUGAGGCCUGUCUGCCUAGCUUCCUGCUUCUUGGCCUUCCUGCCACUCUUUAUGCUGACACCGCGCUUACAGUAGCAGCUUUCAGACCAACUUGAGGCCUUGCUUACUUUGCCAGUGGACUGCCUGCUUGUUUUUUAAAGGAUUUUUUUUUUAAGUAUUGGUACUUUUUUUUCCGUGAAGCUUAGUUGAAGUAUAUUUGAAUUACAAUAAACUGCACAUUUUAAAAGUGUGCAACUUGAUCAAUUUUAACAUAUAUAUAAACCUGUGAAGCCAUCAUCACAGUCAAGAGAAUGAACCUUUCUAUCACCUCCAAAAGGUUCUUUGUGCCCCUUUGUUACCCAUUCCUCUCUGUGUCCCCUAAUAACCACCUGCCUGCUUUUUGUCUUUCUGGAUGAGUUUACAUUUUCUAGAAAUUUGUAUUGAAGGAAUAAUAUAGUAUGUGUUCCUUUUUGCCUGUUUUUUUUUUUUUUACUCAGCAUGAUGCUUUUUGACAUUCAUCCAUGUUCUUGUGUGUAUCAACAGUGCAUUCUUUAUUGCUGAGUAGUAGACCAUUACAUGGAUAGACUAAUUCAUUUAUUCAUUUACCUGUUGAUGGACAUUUGGAUUGUUUCUAGCUUUGGGUUAUUACAAAUAAAGCUGUUAUAAACAUUUGUA
rnacentral:lncRNA from 1 species